rnacentral:rRNA from 1 species
UACGUAGGGGGCAAGCGUUGUCCGGAUUUAUUGGGCGUAAAGCGCGUGUAGGCGGCCUGGAAGGUCUGUUGUGAAAACGUCGAGGCUCAACCUCGAGACGUCGAUGGAAACCCCCAGGCUAGAGUCCGGAAGAGGAGAGUGGAAUUCCCGGUGUAGCGGUGAAAUGCGCAGAUAUCGGGAGGAACAUCUGUGGCGAAGGCGACACCCUGGACCAGCACUGACACUGAGGCACGAAAGCGUGGGGAGCAAACAGG